rnacentral:tRNA from 1 species
GUCGGGAUGGCCGAGCGGUCUAAGGCUCUGCGUUCAGGUCGCAGUCUCCCUGGAGGCGUUGGUUCGAAUUCCGCUUCUGACA